ACACCCAAAAAAAAAAAAAAAAAAAACUUUCUCUCUCCUCCACCACCACCACCACCAUGCCGCCGUCGCCGCCGCCGGAUUCCGACCUCCCACUCCUCGCCGCCAUCAAAGUCAAAUCCUCCUCCCCACGCUUCACUCCCUCCGCCACCAACACCCCCACCGCCGGCGCCCAACGUCGCAUCGGAAUCGCCGUCGAUCUCAGCGACGAGAGCGCCUUCGCCGUCAAAUGGGCCGUCCAUCACUAUCUCCGCCCCGGCGACGCCGUGAUCCUCCUCCACGUCCGCCCUACCUCCGUUCUAUACGGCGCCGAUUGGGGCUCCGUCGAUCUCUCCAUCGUCGACAACUCUAACGAAGCGUCUCAGCAGAAACUCGAAGACGAUUUCGAUAUGUUUACGAACACCAAAAUUUCUGACCUAGCUCAGCCGAUUGUUGAGGCUCAGAUACCGUUUAAGAUCCAUAUUGUGAAGGAUCAUGAUAUGAAGGAGAGGCUGUGUUUGGAGGUUGAGAGGCUAGGGUUGAGUACUGUGAUUAUGGGGAGCCGAGGGUUUGGUGCGACGAAGAGAGGGAACAAUGGGAGGCUUGGGAGUGUUAGCGAUUACUGUGUGAGGCACUGUGUUUGUCCCGUGGUGGUUGUUAGGUAUCCGGAUGAGAAAGAUGGUGGGAAUGACGGUGCUGAGCCUGUGGUUUCUGUGGCUUCUGCCGCGGAGGAUGAGGAUGAGCCCGAGUAUCAUGAUGCUACCGAUGAUCGGAAAGUUGUGAAAAGGUCUCCUUGCAAUUAUGCUUAACUGGAAGUCUGGGACUAAGGAGUGAAGACGAAUCCACAGGAGUAACAUAUUUGCAUGAAUGCUAAUGUAUAAUUAAAGAUACCUAGCUGGAACUAGGAGUCAGGGCUGGAUUCCAUUAACUGCCGCAGUUGUUUCUGAUGUUUCAGUGAAUUUCUGACGUUUCUUCUUGCUUUUCUUUUGGUGAUGUAGAAAGUGUCAAAGGCGUCUGAGUGACAAACUUAAGCUGAGUGGUUUGAGAAUUAAUUAGAUGUUAUUGAUGGGUGGAUCAUGAGCCACGUAAUUUGAAUAGUGAUUGUUCACUAUGUCUCUCCUUCCCAACUAAUUCUCAUUUGUUAACUGAAUUGUUGUAUGGUUUGAUGAGAUUCUGGGUUUAGGACUACAAGAAACUAUUAUGUUCCGCACUUUCUGAUGUAUAAAAAUUCAGCUUUUGCAUGGUUGUAGGAAAAUAAAAAUCUGUUGCUCCUAUAUUUUUUGCUUUUAA